UGUGUCGAUAAAAUGACAACACAUGGUGACAAAUGGCGUCAUUAGAGCUUUAUAAAAGACCCAUGAAUUUUCUCAUAUUCCAUAUUAUCGCAGAGUUCACUUCAUAUAACAGAGUACACCCCAGAGGAGUGAUAUCUGAGAACACAAGGAAGGGUUUUGAUGCUAUAAAGGAUAUGGCUAAUGCACUUUGUGUUCUCAGGUCACCCCUUUGGGGAUUCCUGUUUACAUGGCAUGCACGACAACUUUAUGAGAGAAUGACCAAGAAAACCAAAAUCACGGAAAGUCCAUUUUAAUUUUUAACAUUCAAUUCCACUUCAUAGAGCAGAGUGUGCCCCAGAGGGGUGACCCCUGAGAAUACUUUUUGUGGGUUGGGGCUAUUCUACUUCUAAAGUGUUCUCAGCCUUGCAGGAAAAAUGCAGUCAGUAUUGUCUCUUUCCGUUGGUUGGAAGUUGGAGCACGAACUCGUCAACCAAAGGUCCACAAAUAUAAAUAUAGGAGCCGCCUGAUAUAUAUUGCAGAAGACGUGCCGUCGACGAGCCAACAAAACCAUCCUCGUUAUUGGCGAUAUCUCUACUUUGGAUUCUGCUUCUUGAUGUAUCGUUCGGUGUGGGACUAAACGGUCAUAGAAUUAUAAAAUACAAAUUUUUUUUUUUGAUAAUUAAUAUUAGAUUCUUCCAUC